GGCUCAGGAUGAACGCUAGCGGCAGGCUUAACACAUGCAAGUCGAGGGGCAGCAUGUCCGAACUUUCGGGUUUGGAUGAUGGCGACCGGCGCAAGGGUGCGUAACGCGUGAGCAACUUGCCCGUUUCAGGGGGAUAACCGGUGGAAACGCCGACUAAUACCCCAUAGCAUCACAAGGAGGCAUCUCCAUGUGAUUAAAGAAUUUCGGAAACGGAUAGGCUCGCGUGACAUUAGCUAGAUGGCGGGGUAACGGCCCACCAUGGCGACGAUGUCUAGGGGUUCUGAGAGGAAGGUCCCCCACACUGGAACUGAGACACGGUCCAGACUCCUACGGGAGGCAGCAGUGAGGAAUAUUGGUCAAUGGUCAGACGACUGAACCAGCCAUGCCGCGUGAAGGUCACGGCCCUAUGGGUCUUAAACUUCUUUUGUAAGGGAGCAAUAAGGGUCACGUGUGGUCCGAUGAGAGUACCUUACGAAUAAGCAUCGGCUAACUCCGUG
rnacentral:rRNA from 1 species